ensembl:lncRNA
GUAGUUUGAAAUCUAGUAAGAAAGACUUCAGUCUUUAUUUAUGUUGAUACAGAAAUUGUACCCUACUCUUAGUAAUGUGCAUUUUGCUGUUUCCACCACUAGACUGCAGCAUCUGUCAGGCACAAGAGUUAAUACGACCUCCACCUGCAACUAUCUAUCCAAAGAGGAAUGUUCAGCAGUUCAACGGAAUAGAGGACUGUGAGUCAAUCAGCACAGUUUGCUAAAAGAGCUGAGCUUAUAAUUAAAGGCUGUCACUGAAGGUAUUAGCCUUCAUGUGGAUGUUACUGUAGCACCUACCUCAUUGAGCCCUGCUUGAGCCCAAGAUGUUGACGUGGCCUCUGAACUCUCACGUCAUUAUCUGGUGAAGCAUUUGUGAGAUGUGCUGAUCCACAGACGCUGCACUCACAGGACCUGAAGGAUCUGCUGCCAACGUCACGGUUACGAACACUACAGGACGUAGACCUCUGGAGGUCCAGUGUCGAUGCCUGAUGGAUGAGAGCUGUUUUGGUGGCAUAGGGGUGGCGCUACACAAUAUCAGGCAGGUUCUACUGGAUUGAGAUCUGGUGACUGCGGAGGCCAUUGGAGUACAGUGAGCUCAAUGUCAUGCUGAAGAAACCAGUCUGAGACGGUUUGAGCU